CACGAGUUUGAUCCUGGCUCAGGAUGAACGCUAGCGGCAGGCUUAACACAUGCAAGUCGAGGGGUAUUGGUUUUCGGACCAAGAGACCGGCGCACGGGUGCGUAACGCGUAUGCAAUCUACCUUUUGCAGAGGGAUAGCCCAGAGAAAUUUGGAUUAAUACCUCAUAGUAUAGUACUUUGGCAUCAAGGAACUAUUAAAGUCACAACGGCAAAAGAUGAGCAUGCGUCCCAUUAGCUAGUUGGUAAGGUAACGGCUUACCAAGGCUACGAUGGGUAGGGGUCCUGAGAGGGAGAUCCCCCCACACUGGUACUGAGACACGGACCAGACUCCUACGGGAGGCAGCAGUGAGGAAUAUUGGACAAUGGGCGCAAGCCUGAUCCAGCCAUGCCGCGUGCAGGAUGACGGUCCUAUGGAUUGUAAACUGCUUUUGUACAGGAAGAAACACACCCUCGUGAGGGUACUUGACGGUACUGUAUGAAUAAGGACCGGCUAACUCCGUG
rnacentral:rRNA from 1 species